rnacentral:rRNA from 1 species
UACGUAGGCAGCAAGCGUUGUUCGGAGUUACUGGGCGUAAAGGGUGUGUAGGCGGUUGUUUUAAGUUUGGUGUGAAAUCUCCCGGCUCAACUGGGAGGGUGCGCCGAAUACUGAAUGACUAGAGUGCGGGAGAGGAAAGUGGAAUUCCUGGUGUAGCGGUGAAAUGCGUAGAUAUCAGGAGGAACACCGGUGGUGUAGACGGCUUUCUGGACCGUAACUGACGCUGAGGAGCGAAAGCGUGGGGAGCGAACAGG